AACGAACGCUGGCGGCAGGCUAAACACAUGCAAGUCGAACGGCUGUAGCAAUACAGCAGUGGCAGACGGGUGAGUAACACGUGGGAACCUUCCUAGGGGUACGGAACAACUCAGGGAAACUUGAGCUAAUACCGUAUACGUCCGUGAGGAGAAAGAUUUAUCGCCCUUAGACGGGCCCGCGUCGGAUUAGGUAGUUGGUGGGGUAACGGCCUACCAAGCCUACGAUCCGUAGCUGAUCUGAGAGGAUGAUCAGCCACACUGGGACUGAGACACGGCCCAGACUCCUACGGGAGGCAGCAGUGGGGAAUCUUGGACAAUGGGCGCAAGCCUGAUCCAGCCAUGCCGCGUGAGUGAAGAAGGCCUUAGGGUUGUAAAGCUCUUUUGCCAGGGACGAUAAUGACGGUACCUGGAGAAUAAGCCCCGGCAAACUUCGCGCCAGCAGCCGCCGUAA
rnacentral:rRNA from 1 species